AACGAACGCUGGCGGCAUGCCUAACACAUGCAAGUCGAACGAGACCUUCGGGUCUAGUGGCGCACGGGUGCGUAACGCGUGGGAACCUGCCCUUAGGUUCGGAAUAACUCCCCGAAAGGGGUGCUAAUACCGGAUAAUGUCUUCGGACCAAAGAUUUAUCGCCUUUGGAUGGGCCCGCGUUGGAUUAGCUAGUUGGUAGGGUAAAAGCCUACCAAGGCGACGAUCCAUAGCUGGUCUGAGAGGAUGAUCAGCCACACUGGGACUGAGACACGGCCCAGACUCGUACGGGAGGCAGCAGUGGGGAAUAUUGGAAAAUGGGCGAAAGCCUGAUCCAGCAAUGCCGCGUGAGUGAUGAAGGCCUUAGGGUUGUAAAGCUCUUUUACCCGGGAUGAUAAUGACAGUACCGGGAGAAUAAGCUCCGGCCAACUCCGUG
rnacentral:rRNA from 1 species